UACGAAGGGGGCUAGCGUUGCUCGGAAUCACUGGGCGUAAAGGGUGCGUAGGCGGGUCUUUAAGUCAGGGGUGAAAUCCUGGAGCUCAACUCCAGAACUGCCUUUGAUACUGAGGAUCUUGAGUUCGGGAGAGGUGAGUGGAACUGCGAGCGUAGAGGUGAAAUUCGUAGAUAUCAGGAAGAACACCCGUGGCGAAGGCGGCUCUCUGGAACGCAACUGACGCUGAGACGCGAAAGCGUGGGGAGCAAACAGG
rnacentral:rRNA from 1 species